CUCAUUCUGUCUUGCCGCCACAAUGUAAGAAUUGUCUCUCACCCUCUGCCAUGUAAGAAUUCUCUUUCACCCUCUGCCGUGAUCGUGAGACCUUCCCCAGCCAUGUGAAACUUAUCUUACAGAGCAAGACUGCAGAUCAAGAUUUUCCAACGUGGUGCUGACUUUUUUGAGAACAGUUAAUGAGAACUAGGAAAGUCCUUGCAGACCAUCCAGUCCAGCGGCUUUCAAAUGGAAAAUGUGAAAGGACAACAGAAUCACAUGGAUUCUUUUCUGAACUGCUUUUUUCCAGUGAUGCCAUAUUCUAUAAGACUUCAUGUGAAGGUGUGGAGGACGGGUAAUGUCUGAAUCUUCCAGGCAAUGAGAGGGAUGGUGUGAGUCUGGAAAUUCUUUGUGAUGGUCUGAGACUCCCCUUACUCCAGUUAAGAACACUGACUUAAUUCGAUCUGGUUUUUUUUAACAAAUGGCCUCUGAGACGUAGAGCAGUGAGGAUAAGGACUCUUACCCGGUUACAGAGUGGAGUAAGGGCUAGAACUCAACUCUUAAAAAUUUCAAAUGCAAUGUUCUUUCUACAAUAUUGUGCCUACUUCUUCACUUCUGCUUAUAGGCAACUUCCUUUUCCUUUAAUUCUCUAAUAUUUGGAGGGCACGUCACAACUUAUACACUUGCUCUAUAUGUUUUACAUUGCUUCUCAUGGUUUCUCAUGCAUAAGUAUAGUAUUUUCUUAUAUUUUAAAUUUUCUAAGAACAGGUAACCUAUUUUAAACUCCCCUUGCAAUUAUGCAGGUAACUAACACAUUGAUGAUAAGCUAAUAUUAAGAGAGCAAAAUAGUUGAUGAUUAGUUUAUUAGUAUCUCAAAAUAAUCCAUUUGAUGUGCUAAGGUGCUAUUAGUUACAACAUUUCAAGUAUACAUGCAAUUCUUGUUAGAAAUAUUAUCCACCUUUUGAAAUACAUGUUGAUUAAAGACUAACAUGGGCUGUGGGCAUAGGUACAGUAACAGCAUACCAUAGGCCGGAGAAAGAGUUGACUUUGGAGGUCCAAGAUCAAGAAGCAGGAUGUCUAACAGGGCUCUUGAGAAUUCUAGGGCAGCCGGUACUCGAAAGGCAAGAUUUGAUUGUGAAUGAUUUCAUGCAACUCCGUUGGUUAAUAAGCAAAUCCUGCCCACACUUGUGGAUAACAUGGAAGCUACCUGAGCAGGUAAAGGCUAAGACAGAAGAUCCAUGAACAGAACUGGAGUUUUGAUAAUUCACCAGGAACUUGGUUACUUUGUUGUACCUUUUAUGCUUUUAUAUUUCUUCUUCCCUUUCAUUUCCAUGCAAUGUAUUUAUAACUUGUAGCUAGAUUUUUAGAUUACUGCCAGACAAAUUCAGUCAAUUUAAUUAAUUAGGCAAAUUAAAGUGAAAAUUAUGUUUUAGGGGCUGUUAAAAUUUAUAAGACAUUAGCACAUUCUUCUCAUGUGCUUUUAUUAUUAUUACAAAUGUUGUUUCAUAAUUAGCCAUGUGUUAAUUGUUAGCUUGGGGAAUGAUUUACGUGUUUAAAAUUGGGAGAAAUCA
ensembl:lncRNA novel transcript